UGAAAUUCUCUUGGUUGCUUGUGGCUAUCUGCCAGCUAAUUCUCUUAUCGUUCGCAUUUGCCGAAGAAUUAUUUGAGUGCACCAGCAAUGAUGUCCCCGUAAAGUGUGUACGCUCCUGCCAAAAGUUGUGCGUGGAUCAGCUGGUUAUGCGCAAAUGCAGAUUUGUUCAAUGCAAACGAGUGCCUGUGCCUGUGCCCCUGGCAUGGUGCGAAAGCGUGACAUUACAGGUUUCUGUAUACGUCGAAGGGAUUGCAAGCGCUGGAUCAUCUAGGUAGUCGUCGGGCAAUCGCAAUUCAAUAAAAAUAAAUGUUAAAUU